CUGGCGUCCGCGGUCACCGCCGGUGACUUUCUGGACUCGUCGUCAGCCUGGGCCGCGGCGCGGCGGGCGGCGACUGCGGGGAGGGCCCGAGUCCGUCCGGAGGCGCCCGCGCCCGGGGCUGCGGGGCUUUUUCUCAAACUUCUCUUCCUGACAACAGUCAAAUCAUCCAUUCAAAGAUUUCAGACAAGCUCAGCAUUCUAAGGAGGAGUUGCAGUCUCCUUCCUCUCUGUGGGAUCGGUGACUGUUUUUUCCAGUUCAGAAUUUGAAUUUUCAGCAUUACCGUCCUCGGUGUUUCUUGGCUUGGUAGCUUCACUGCUGGGCUCUGUGCUAAGACUGUCUGUUUCCUCUCCAGGUCCUCCUGGUGCUGCUUUUUUUUCUUCAGCUGUUUUGCUAUUUAAAUGAACAGCUGAGGAGGAAUUUUUGGAGUCCUUGGACUUUUUGUGCAUAGAAGUUUGACUGAUAUGACCAGAGGUGGGAGGGGCGGACAUUUUCUGGGCUUUGCUUCCCUCUGACUGUUCUUUCUUCGGCGGUCCCCAAAUAAAAUUCUCUGAAGGCGUGUAAUGUUUCUGGGCGAAA